UACAGAGGGUGCAAGCGUUGUUUCGGAAUUAUUGGGCGUAAAGCGUCCGUAGGUGGCUAGUCAAGUCUGGCGGUCAAAGACUGGGGCUUAACCCUGGAAAGGCCGUGGAAACUGACGAGCUAGAGUGCAGUAGGGGUAGAGGGAAUUCCCGGUGUAGCGGUGAAAUGCGUAGAGCUCGGGAAGAACAUCGGUGGCGAAAGCGCUCUACUGGACUGCAACUGACACGUCAGGGACGAAAGCUAGGGGAGCGAAUGGG
rnacentral:rRNA from 1 species